AUUCUUACCUGGCAGGGGAUAAGCCAUGAUCAAAAGGUGGUUUUCUUGGGGCAAGGCUCAUCCCUUGCACACCAGAUGUGCUAAACCCUAAGAUUUCUCCAAAUGUGGGAAACUCAUCUGUAUAAUUUGUGGUAGUGGGGACUAUGUUCAUGCUGUCUCCU